rnacentral:rRNA from 1 species
UACGUAGGGUGCAAGCGUUAAUCGGAAUUACUGGGCGUAAAGCGUGCGCAGGCGGCUUUGCAGAACAGACUGUGAAAUCCCCGGGCUUAACCUGGGAACUGCAUUUGUGACUGCAUGGCUGGAGUGCGGCAGAGGGGGAUGGAAUUCCGCGUGUAGCAGUGAAAUGCGUAGAUAUGCGGAGGAACACCGAUGGCGAAGGCAAUCCCCUGGGCCUGCACUGACGCUCAUGCACGAAAGCGUGGGGAGCAAACAGG